rnacentral:rRNA from 1 species
AUUGAACGCUGGCGGCAGGCCUCCCACAUGCACGUCGACCGAGUGGCGGACGGGUGAGUACUGUCUGGGCAACUGCCUGAUGGAGUGGGAUCACUACUGGCAACGGUAGCUAAUACCGCAUACCCUCGGAUGUGCCCAGAUGGGAGUAGCUAGUAGGUUGGGUAACGGCUGCCCUAGGCGCCGAUCCCUAGCGGGUCUGAGAGGAUGACCAGCCACACUGGAACUGAGAAACGGUGCAGACUCCGACGGGAGGGAGCAGUGGGGAAUAUUGCACAAUGGGCGAAAGCCUGAUGCAGCCAUGCCGAGUGUAUGAAGAAGGCAGUCGGGUGGUAAAGUACGGUCAGCGGGGAGGCGUUACCAGCAGAAGAAGCACCGGCUAACUCCGUGCCAGCAGCCGCGGUAAUAC